rnacentral:lncRNA from 1 species
AAACUUGAAAGAAUCAGAAACAUUUUCCCCUGAUUAAAAAUCAAACAAACACUUGCAUUCCUUGGUUUUUAAAACCAAAAGCGUGAAAGAGCAUAGCCAUUUUUCGUUCAAUUUCAAGACAUCAUCAAUUCAAUCCUUAAGCCAACAUUUUGUUCAAAACGUUAAAAGCAGAUUAAUUCAUCCAAAAUUUCAAGUUUGUCCAGGCAUGAAUUUCGUCCAUAUUUCGCAAAAAGCAGAUUCGUUCAAAUAAAUUUGGGAACAGGUAUGUUAGGGCUAUCCCUUCUUCCUUUUGGCAUGAUCCAUACAAUACGAAUGAAACGUGGAAAUGCAAAAAUUCCAUAAAUGACUCUAUUCAUAGAAGUAUUAGAGAUAUCUAUGUUCCUAAAUUUCCAUGUGUCAUAAUAUUUUAUCAUCUGUUCAUAAGUCUUAGAAAAAUAUGGAAGUUGAGAAAAAAAAAGUUUUCUUUAUGAUAUUGCUAAAGACAAAAUGGUUUUAUGAAAUCCUGAAAGAUUUUAUUAACGUACUUUUCAUGCAUUGCAUUCAUGUGCAUUGACCCAUGACCAGAUGGAAUUAUAUACGCGUAUAUAUGUAAAUAUAUGUAUAUGAGAUAUGGGAAAAAAUUACGGUGUUAUAUACGCACCACCACCUGAUCAGCUGGUAUAUGGUGAUGAUGUUGCCCACAGUGGCUGAAAUAUGAUUCAAACGACGUUAUAUACGCGUAUAUAUGUGUGUAUAUAUAUGUAUAUGGGAUAUGGGAAAGGUUAUGGCGUUAUAUAUGCACUACCACCUGAUCAGCUAGUAUACGAUGAUGAUUUUGCCCACAGUGGCCAAUAUGAUAUGAUGUGAUACCCUCAGAGGCUGAUGAUGUUAUGAAACAUAUACCUAUGCACGACAUGACAUUCAUACGCAUAUGCAUGACGCUAAAAGUAAUUUAUGAUUUACAAAGUUAUUCAGACUUACAGGUUGAAUCAUGUACUCUAUAUUUCUUUCAUGUCUUUUAUGUACUUAUUUAUGUGCCUUACAUACUCGGUACAUUAUUCGUACUGACGUCCCUUUUGCCCGGGGAGCUGCGUUUCAUGCCCGCAGGUCCCGAUAGACAGGUAUAGAGCCCUCCAAGUAGGCUAUCAGCUCAGCGAAAGAUGUUGGUGUUCUCCAUUUGCUUCGGAGUUGCUUGUUUGGUUAGUAUGAUUUAGAUGUGUAUUGUUUGGUAUGGCGGGACUCUAUCCCGACCUUUAUGAUAUUUAUGUACUCUUUGAGGCUUGUAGACAUGUAUCGUAUACGUGAAAGAUUGUACGGCCUUGUCGGCCUAUGUUUUGAGAAAUAAAUUAUUAUGUUGGCCUAUUAGGACCGUAUGUCAUGUGUAUAGGAUGAUGUAAUAAGAAAGAUAUGUUACGUUGGUACUCGGUUGAGUAAGGUACCAGGUGCCCGUCGCGACCCAUCGGUUUAGGUCAUGACACUAACGUCAUCUUUUAUCUAUCAUGAUUACAUUAUUAUUCUAUUACUAGUGCAACAUUUCAUCUCUUCUAAAUGCUACUAGUCCUAGAAUCCUUUGAGUUCAUUCAGAUUAUACUGAGC